CCCUUAGAUGUUCUGGGCCGCACACGCGCUACACUGAAGGAGGCAGCGUGUACUCCUGGAUCGAAAGAUUUGGGUAACCCGCGAAUCUCCUUCGUGCUAGGGAUUGAGGUUUGCAAUUAUCCUUCAUGAACGAGGAAUUCCCAGUAAGUGCAAGUCAUAAGCUUGCGCUGACUACGUCCCUGCCCUUUGUACACACCGCCCGUCGCUCCUACCGAUUGAAUGGUCCGGUGAAGCGUUCGGACCGUGGCCUUUGGACGGUUCGCCGUCUGUUGGCUGCGGGAAGUUCGUUAAACCUUAUCAUUUAGAGGAAGGAGAANUCGUAACA
rnacentral:rRNA from 1 species